rnacentral:rRNA from 1 species
GACGAAGGUGGCAAGCGUUGUUCGGAAUCACUGGGCAUAAAGCGCGCGUAGGCGGUCUGUUAAGUCAAAUGUGAAAGCCCUCGGCCCAACCGAGGAACUGCGUCUGAUACUGAUAGACUUGAGGUUCGGAGAGGUGUACAGAAUUCCUGGUGGAGCGGUGAAAUGCGUUGAUAUCAGGAGGAAUACCGGAGGCGAAGGCG